AACGAACGCUGGCGGCAGGCUUAACACAUGCAAGUCGAACGGGUGUAGCAAUACAUCAGUGGCAGACGGGUGAGUAACACGUGGGAACCUUCCUCGGGGUACGGAACAACUCAGGGAAACUUGAGCUAAUACCGUAUACGUCCGUGAGGAGAAAGAUUUAUCGCCCUGAGACGGGCCCGCGUCGGAUUAGCUAGUUGGUGGGGUAACGGCCUACCAAGGCGACGAUCCGUAGCUGAUCUUAGAGGAUGAUCAGCCACACUGGGACUGAGACACGGCCCAGACUCCUACGGGAGGCAGCAGUGGGGAAUCUUGGACAAUGGGCGCAAGCCUGAUCCAGCCAUGCCGCGUGAGUGAAGAAGGUCUUCGGAUUGUAAAGCUCUUUUGCCAGGGACGAUAAUGACGGUACCUGGAGAAUGAGCCCCGGCAAACUUCGUGCCAGCCGCCGCCGUAA
rnacentral:rRNA from 1 species